GAUGAACGCUGGCGGCGUGCCUAAUACAUGCAAGUCGAGCGAACAGACGAGGAGCUUGCUCCUCUGACGUUAGCGGCGGACGGGUGAGUAACACGUGGAUAACCUACCUAUAAGACUGGGAUAACUUCGGGAAACCGGAGCUAAUACCGGAUAAUAUAUUGAACCGCAUGGUUCAAUAGUGAAAGACGGUUUUGCUGUCACUUAUAGAUGGAUCCGCGCCGCAUUAGCUAGUUGGUAAGGUAACGGCUUACCAAGGCAACGAUGCGUAGCCGACCUGAGAGAGUGAUCGGCCACACUGGAACUGAGACACGGUCCAGACUCCUACGGGAGGCAGCAGUAGGGAAUCUUCCGCAAUGGGCGAAAGCCUGACGGAGCAACGCCGCGGGAGUGAUGAAGGUCUUCGGAUCGUAAAACUCUGUUAUUAGGGAAGAACAAAUGUGUAAGUAACUAUGCACGUCUUGACGGUACCUAAUCAGAAAGCCACGGCUAACUACGUG
rnacentral:rRNA from 1 species